GACGAACGCUGGCGGGCGUGCCUAAUACAUGCAAGUCGAACGCUUCUUUCCUCCCGAGUGCUUGCACUCAAUUGGAAAGAGGAGUGGCGGACGGGUGAGUAACACGUGGGUAACCUACCCAUCAGAGGGGGAUAACACUUGGAAACAGGUGCUAAUACCGCAUAACAGUUUAUGCCGCAUGGCAUAAGAGUGAAAGGCGCUUUCGGGUGUCGCUGAUGGAUGGACCCGCGGUGCAUUAGCUAGUUGGUGAGGUAACGGCUCACCAAGGCCACGAUGCAUAGCCGACCUGAGAGGGUGAUCGGCCACACUGGGACUGAGACACGGCCCAGACUCCUACGGGAGGCAGCAGUAGGGAAUCUUCGGCAAUGGACGAAAGUCUGACCGAGCAACGCCGCGUGAGUGAAGAAGGUUUUCGGAUCGUAAAACUCUGUUGUUAGAGAAGAACAAGGACGUUAGUAACUGAACGUCCCCUGACGGUAUCUAACCAGAAAGCCACGGCUAACUACGUGCCAGCAGCCGCGGUAAUACGUAGGUGGCAAGCGUUGUCCGGAUUUAUUGGGCGUAAAGCGAGCGCAGGCGGUUUCUUAAGUCUGAUGUGAAAGCCCCCGGCUCAACCGGGGAGGGUCAUUGGAAACUGGGAGACUUGAGUGCAGAAAGGAGAGUGGAAUUCCAUGUGUAGCGGUGAAAUGCGUACAUAUAUGGAGGAACACCAGUGGCGAAGGCGGUCUCUGGUCUGUACUGACGCUGAGGCUCGAAAGCGCGGGGGAGCAACCCAGGGAUUAAGAUACCCUGGGUAGUCCAACGCCGUAACGAUGAAGUGCUAAGUGUGGGAGGGUUCGGCCUUCAGUGCUGCAGCAAGCUUGGAGGCACUCCGCUUGGNGGAUACGACCGAGGUUG
rnacentral:rRNA from 1 species